ACGGGUGCGUAACGCGUGGGAAUCUGCCCUUGGGUUCGGAAUAACAGUUAGAAAUGACUGCUAAUACCGGAUGAUGUCUUCGGACCAAAGAUUUAUCGCCCAAGGAUGAGCCCGCGUAAGAUUAGCUAGUUGGUGGGGUAAUGGCCCACCAAGGCGACGACCUUUAGCUGGUCUGAGAGGAUGAUCAGCCACACUGGGACUGAGACACGGCCCAGACUCCUACGGGAGGCAGCAGUGGGGAAUAUUGGACAAUGGGCGAAAGCCUGAUCCAGCAAUGCCGCGUGAGUGAUGAAGGCCUUAGGGUUGUAAAGCUCUUUUACCAGGGAUGAUAAUGACAGUACCUGGAGAAUAAGCUCCGGCUAACUCCGUGCCAGCAGCCGCGGUAAUACGGAGGGAGCUAGCGUUGUUCGGAAUUACUGGGCGUAAAGCGUACGUAGGCGGUUAUUCAAGUCAGAGGUGAAAGCCCGGGGCUCAACCCCGGAACGGCCUUUGAAACUAGAUAGCUAGAGUCUUGGAGAGGUUAGUGGAAUUCCGAGUGUAGAGGUGAAAUUCGUAGA
rnacentral:rRNA from 1 species